GUUCUGUAGACAGCUUGUAUUUAUAUCUUUUGAUAUUUGCUUUAAUGCUUUAACACCACUAGAUGGUGCCUUUUACCUUCUAUCAUUGCAUGUUUCCUCUGUACCACCAGACAAUUUACAGUAGAUCUGGGUCUGCCACAUGUUUUGUAAGAUUUAUCACAGUUACUUAAAGGGGAAUUAACAAAUAUAUUUAAACAUGGCUGAUGAAUUAUUCACUAAACAGAGAGUUCUGGUGAAUAAACAGUACUACACAGUAUAAAGACUGGAGCUGGACAGAAAAGCCAGGGUAGGAGAAUUUUGCCAAAUCUAGCGUUUUGUUUACAUUUUUCAUGUGAUAUUCUUAAACUGUUAAAAAAAACAUUUAAAAUAUUAACUUUAAGGGGUUAAUGGAUACAACAAGCCUUGAAUUUUCUCUAUAUAAAAAAAAUUGCCCUUCUCUUCCACCAAUCCUUAACGAUAAGCCCAGUGCUCUCUCUCUCUAAAAUGACAUUGGAACUGAGUGCCCAUCGUUGAUGUUUUCAAGUCAUUUAAUUUUCCAGGGUGGUCAUCGGUAGAGAUGUCGCGAACUGCUCGCCGAACAGUUCGCGAACUGUCCGCUGGCGAACAAUAGUGUGUUCGCG